ensembl:snRNA U6 U6 spliceosomal RNA
GUUCUUGCUUUGGCAGUACAUAGACUAAGACUGGAAUGGUACAAAGAGUAGCAUGGCCUCUGUGCAAAGAUCACAUACAAAUGCAUAAACCAUUCCAUAUUUCA